UGCCCCCCCACGAGGCGCGGGCGGCGCGGAUACCUGUAGAAGGCGGGCGGGCCGGCCUGGCGCACCGCGUAGCCGCUCGGCUCGUUCUCCAGGUUAACGGUGGCCCCCAUGCACUGGGCCAGUCCAAAACUGUGCAGGAAGGAAGAAGGGAAGGAAGGCGAGGGGGAAAAAGAAGGAAGAAAGAAAAGAAAGAAGGAAAAAUGAAGGAGACUCUGUAAAUAAUCUUCCUAGACUUUGAUUUGCUGAGAGCAGCAGUGAAGAAACAUGAAAGGAAAUAAAUGUGGAAUUAUUUCCAAAACAGCUUAUAGUACUAGAGAUGGUUCCUUCACUCCAAGACAUGAAGGUCAAGAUAUCAGGGUCGUGAGAUCGACUUGAAGCCC